AAUAUUCUCAGAAAAUAAGUGAUUUAGGUUUUACGAUCUUUGAGUUAUUAUCAGAGGCACUAGGACUUGAUCCAUCUUACCUCAAAGAGUUGAAUUGUGCCGAAGGACACUUUAUUAUGGGUCACUACUAUCCACCAUGCCCUGAGCCUGAAUUAACUAUGGGCACUGCCAAGCAUAGUGAUUUUAACUUCAUGACAUUACUUCUACAAGACCAACUUGGUGGUCUUCAAAUUCUUCACGACGAUAAAUGGGUUAACGUUCCUCCGGUACAUGGAGCUCUUGUUGUAAACAUAGGAGAUCUUCUACAGGUAAAAUAUUACUCCCCUAUCUCUAUUUAUAGCUAGCAUUUUAUCCGCGUUAUGCCACAUGAUUGCUCCUUCAUUGAAAGUUUGCGAGUUUCAUCAAUUUCUUAUAUACUUUUUGCAGCUUAUCACUAAUGACAGGUUUGUAAGUGUUAAUCACCGAGUCUUAUCACAGAACACAGGCCCAAGAAUUUCAGUAGCAAGCUUCUUUGUGAACUCUCCUGAUCCAGAUAAAGGUGGAUCAAAGAUUUAUGGUCCUAUUAAGGAACUACUUUCAGAAGAAAACCGACCAAUCUACAAAGACGUUACUAUAAAAGAAUAUUUAGAACAUUAUUUUGCAAAAGGCCUUGAUGGAAAUUCUGCUUUGGAGCCCUUCAAGUUGUGAAUUCGACAUGUGAAUGUACUUUUGAUUCUCGUGGAGCUAGCCAUAAUCUAUCUAAAUAACAAGUCACGUUUUCCGCAAUUAGCGUGCUCUAUAUGUAUCAAGUUUCAGAGACAGAAAUAAAUGUGUUAUCUAUACUCUAUAGAUCAAUAUUAAUAUUUUAACCUUAACAGUUUUACUAGUGCUGUGAAAUAGAUUGUUAUUUGUUGGUGAAGUUGUUCUGUUUAUGAUUUGAUUGGAAAUUUUUGCUGCUUCAUUUUUGGAGAUUAUUUAUACUACAUCACACAAUUGACAUAAUCACUUAAAAAGAGUGUAACCAAAUGGUUAACGAGCUCUUCCUACGACGAAGUGUUCGGAAGAAUCCGAAUUCAAUGAAAGGUAUAAUUUUUAUCAAACUUUACUUCCCUGAAAAUCGGAGGGUUGACAUAAAAAAAAUAAAAAAAUAGAGAGUGAUAUAGUGAAUAGAAACUUCAUGAAUAUGACAUAGUUAGGGGGUAGAUAUGCAAAUAAAGUACACAUGAAAUAUGGUGCACAGUAGACAGAGCCUACUUUGUGGUCCUCCUUAUUUUCUUAGGAUAAGUCCUUCUCUGUCAGUUUGAUAAGUCUGCAUUUUGUAGGAAUCAGAAAGCACUACUAUUCUGGUGUUGUUUCCACCUGUCAAUAUGGUGGUAAAUGACACAAUCCAAUUAGAGGAAUCAACUGAUUCUACUUAUGAUAGAGAAGCUGAAAUGAAAGCUUUUGAUGAUUCGAAAGCAGGCGUCAAUGGUUUGGUGGAGUCUGGGAUAUCAAAGAUUCCAGCCAUCUUCCAUAGGAAGUUGGACAUCACCGAAAACUCAGCCGGCGAUAACUCAAAGUUGAGCAUUCCGAUCAUAGACCUCAAAGACAUACAUAAAGAUCCAGCUCUUCGUGUAGAGGUAAUUGAUAAAAUUCGAAGUGCAUGCCAUGAGUGGGGAUUUUUUCAGGUGAUUAAUCAUGGAAUUCCUGUUACUGUCUUCGAUGAAAUGAUAGAUGGGAUUCGUAAGUUUCAUGAACAAGAUGUUGAUGUAAGAAAAGAGUUUUAUACGCGUGAUUUAAAGAAAAAGGUUACGUAUUUCUCCACUGGAACGUUAUAUAGUGACCAAGCUGCUAAUUGGAGAGACACCUUUGCUUUUGUUGUUGCUCCUGAUCCAUUCGAACCAAAUGAAGUACCACCAAUAUGCAGGUAAUGAACUAAUAAUGAUUAUGACCCUUCAAUUCAUAAUCAAGUUAUGUAGAUUUCACAAUUGUUACAUUACAUGAAAAAUAUGGUCAUAAUCAUUAGUGCAUUUCAGUUAUUGAUCCUGUCCAUCCGAUUUAUUUUAACCGCUGAUGGAUUGAUUACAUACUUGCAGAGAUAUCAUGAUUGAAUAUUCACAGAAAAUACAGGAUUUGGGUUUCACAAUCUUUGAGUUAUUGUCAAGGGCACUAGGACUUGAUUCUUCUUAUCUCAAAGAGUUGAAUUGUGCCGAAGGACACUUCAUUAUGGGUCACUACUAUCCACCAUGCCCUGAACCUGAGCUAACUAUGGGUGCUACUAAGCAUACUGAUUAUAGCUUCAUGACAUUACUUCUACAAGACCAACUUGGUGGUCUUCAAAUUCUUCAUGAUGAUAAAUGGGUCAAUGUUUCUCCGGUACAUGGAGCUCUUGUUGUAAACAUAGGAGAUCUUCUACAGGUAAAAUAUUACUCCCACUAUCUAUGUUUAUAGCUAGCAAUUUAUCCGCGUUAUGCCACAUGAUUGCUCCUUCAUUGAAAGUUUGAGCUUCAUCAAUUUGUUAUAUACUGUUGCUGCAGCUUAUCACAAAUGACAGGUUUGUAAGUGUUAAUCACCGAGUCUUAUCACAGAACAUAGGACCGAGAAUUUCUGUUGCAAGCUUCUUUGUGAACUCUCCUGAUCCAGAUAAAGGUAGAUCAAAGAUUUAUGGUCCUAUUAAGGAACUGCUUUCAGAAGAAAACCCACCUAUCUACAAAGACGUUACUAUAAAAGAAUAUUUAGAACAUUUUUUUGCAAAAGGUCUUGAUGGAAAUUCUGCUUUGGAGCCUUUCAAGUUGUGAAUUCGACAUGUGAACGUACUUUUGAUUCUCGUGUAGCUAGCCAUAAUCUAUCUAAAUAACAAGUCAUGUUUUCUGCAAUUAGCGUGCUCUAUAUGUAUCAAGUUUCAGAGACUGCAAUAAAUGUAUUAUCUAUACUCUAUGGAUCACACACUAUCAUCUUUGUACAAAUUCAGAUUAAAUUGUGUAGCUUUAGAUUAUUGAUUUGCUUAGAGUUGAGAAAAAUUGCUUCAUCAACAAGCUUAGUUCAUACUUUCUUUGAGAGAGUAUGAUAGCUGUCCAUCAAAUUAAUCUUAACAACAUUAAAUUUUUAACCUUUAACAGUUAUACUAGUGCUGUGAAAUAGACUGUUAUUUGUUGGUGAAGUUGUUCUGUUGAUGAUUUGAUUGGAAAUUUUCGCUGCUACAUUUUUUGGAGAAUAUGCAUAUACGAAUUCACACAAUUGACAUGAUCACUUAAAAAGAGUGUAACCAAGUGGUUAAUGAGCUCCUCCUACGACUAAGUGUUCAGAAGAAUCCGAGUUCAAUGAAAGGUACAAUUUUUUAUCAAAUUUUAUUUACCUCGCGGCCGAACUUUCCUGAAAAUUGGAGGGGUAACAUAAAAAUAAAUAAAUAGAGAGGGUAGAUAUGCAAAUUAACUAAUAAAGUACCCAUGGAAUAUGGUGCACAGUGGACAGAGCCUACUUUGUGGUCGUCCUUUUUUUUUGUUGUUAUUUCCACAUUCAAAGUCAUCUAACUUUUGAUUCAUCUAACUUUUGAUUUGGUAAAAAGGGAGAAAAAAAUCAUAUAUAAAAAAAUUGACUAGUUGGUCAAAGUCAGGCCGACCCACACCCAUGCGACGGGUGUGCGGCAGCAUCAGAAUUCAAAAUUUUGAGAUCCUAUAAUAAUAGUUAUAUAUUUUUAAUGUUCGAAAAUAUUAGAUAUGCAUCAAUAGAUUAGUUGUGUGUUAUAAUAUUAAGAUAUGCAAAAACAGUAACACAUUUUUCUUUGGAUAAGUCUUCUCUGCAACUUGGAUAAGUCUUCUCUGCCAAUCCUAUUUUAAUUUUAUCUGCUUUAAUUCUACAUUUUGUUGGAGUCUGAAAGUACUACAAUUGUGGUGUUGCUUCCACCUCUCAAUAUGGUGGUAAAAAACACAAACCAAUUAGAGGAAGCAACUGAUUCAACUUAUGAUAGAGAAGCUGAAGUGAAAGCUUUUGAUGAUUCANNNNNNNNNNNNNNNNNNNNNNNNNNNNNNNNNNNNNNNNNNNGAUAUACAUAACAAUCCAGCUCUUUGUGUAGAGGUAAUUGAUAAAAUUCGAAGUGCAUGCCAUGAGUGGGGAUUUUUUCAGGUGGUUAAUCAUGGAAUUCCUGUUACUGUUUUGGAUGAAAUGAUUGAUGGGAUUCGUAGGUUUCAUGAACAAGAUGUUGAUGUAAGAAAAGAGUUUUAUACGCGUGAUUUAAAGAAAAAGGUUACAUAUUUCUCCACUGGAACGUUGUAUAGUGGCCAAGCUGCUAAUUGGAGAGAUACCGUUACUUUUGCUGUUGCUCCUGAUCCAUUCGAGCCAAAUGAAGUACCACCAAUAUGCAGGUAAUGAUUCUAACCCUGCAAUUCAUAAUCAAGUUAUCUAUAUUUCACAAUUGUUACAUUACAUAACAUAUGGUCAUGAUAUUAGUUCAUUUCAGUUAUAGAUUCUGUCCGACUGAUUUAUUUUCACCGCUGAUGAAUUGAUUACAUGAAGAGAUAUCAUGAUUCAAUAUUCGCAGAAAAUAAGGGAUUUGGGUUUUACAAUCUUUGAAUUAUUGUCAUGGGCACUAGGACUUGAUUCUUCUUAUCUCAAAGAGUUGAAUUGUGCCGAAGGACUCUCUAUUAUGGGUCACUACUAUCCACCAUGCCCUGAACCUGAAUUAACUAUCGGCACUACUAAGCAUAGUGAUUAUAGCUUCAUGACAUUACUUCUACAAGACCAACUUGGCGGUCUUCAAGUUCUUCAUGACGAUAAAUGGGUUAACGUUCCUCCGGUGCAUGGAGCUCUUGUUUUAAACAUAGGAGAUCUUCUUCAG
rnacentral:lncRNA from 1 species